UAUAAGCCUUCCCCCGCCCUGCAGAGAUCAGUCUGCACGGAGCCCUCCAUGGGUGAAGAUGAAUUAUUUUUUUGCGCUCGGGUUUUUUCUUUUUCGUCUGUUUUUCUUCUUUUUUCUCAAUUCUUCAUUUUUCAGCCCCAAAAAAGGCCAAAUAAAAAACCAUCAUAACCGUCGAAUUGAAAAUAAAAUAAAAAUCCUGAGCAUAAAAAAAAAAAACCUGACGAAAAAGAAAAAACCCAUCUUCACCCAUGGAGGGCUCCGUGCAGACUGAGCUCUGCAGGGCGGGGGAAGGCUUAUA